CGGGGUGGAGUAAUGUCUGGGAAACUGCCUGAUGGAGGGGGGUAACUACUGGAAACGGUAGCUAAUACCGCAUAACGUCGCAAGACCAAAGUGGGGGACCUUCGGGCCUCAUGCCAUCAGAUGUGCCCAGAUGGGAUUAGCUAGUAGGUGGGGUAACGGCCCACCUAGGCGACGAUCCCUAGCUGGUCUGAGAGGAUGACCAGCCACACUGGAACUGAGACACGGUCCAG
rnacentral:rRNA from 1 species